rnacentral:hammerhead_ribozyme from 1 species
GCACUACUGAAGAGUCCCAUACAAGAACGAAACGUCCGUCCAGUGC